rnacentral:lncRNA from 1 species
AAGGAUAUUUUUCCGAAAAGUGGUUAAUGCAUACACAGUACAGGAAGCUAGUUUUUUCCUUGAGUAUUUUAUAAAGUACUUCAAGGAAAAUGCAUGUACGUUUUACUGGUAUUAAAGUAUAACAACGUUUUCACUUGUGAGCACAGAGUUUCGUUUGAGACUGAAAGAUGUUGUUUGAGUAUAUGUUAGUCGGUUUUGUGUUGUUAACUGAUGUCAUGGGGCACGUGUCCGCACGAGUGUUCCCUACUGGACAGCCAGGAAUGACGCCACCAGCAAUCAGUAAUGUGUCAACUCACACAUGUGAUGAAAAUCCCUACGUAAAUGGUUGCAGCGUACAAAUUAGGUCAUACAGACGAAUAUUUCAAUCAGAAUGCAACAGACACGAUAUUUGUUAUAAUUGUGGAUCAGGAUAUGGGAUCAGCAGACGGUCGUGUGACAUCAUUUUCGGACAAAGCAUCGCCGAACGUUGUGACACCGCCAGAGACGAGUCUUUAUGCCGCAUGUUGACAUACGUUUCGUAUGCCGGUGUCAGACUGGGAGGACGCCGACGAUAUUCACGUUUCUCUCCGUCGUGGUGUGCCGACAGAUGGGUUUCCUCUUGUUUAUACAUGUACAUUCAGUAGGCUACGUCACCUGAAUUUGUUAAGAGUCUGCAUUCAAAUUCCUGUUUAUUUAAAGACUUUAUCAGUCUCACAGAUACACAGUCCUUAACGAGUUUGCUGCAUUUGUAAAGAUUCUUUUCUGCAUAAAACAUAAAAUAUA